rnacentral:lncRNA from 1 species
GCACUACAUAAACCAGAUGAACUCUUCACAUUCACUUAUUGGCACCCCAAGGCUACUUCCAUGACCAUGCACUAUAUGGAAAACUUCAGACCUGGGGAUAGCCGAGGACCCGCUAGCAAAAGAUUGGAAAUCUAUAUUUUAUUCUUCUUUGGGGGAGCUUUUGGAGGGCCAAAAAGUACUUUAUGACCUUCUAAAAUCGCUUUUAAAUGAAAUAAGGAUGUUUAGUAAAAAUUUUGAAAAACCGUUUUAGCUUUUUCAGAAAGCUAAUAACAACUUUUUGGAAGAAGCUCCAUUUAAAGCUUUCUGAAAAAAUAUUUUUAGUCUCAGUCGAAAAGUUUUUUUUUUUACCAAAAUACAUAUGAUAAAAUAUAACAAUUACACAAAACAUCCCUUUAAUAAUUAUUUAACCAAUUUUAUCACCCAGCCAAAAAAUUUAUUAUAUUAUAAAAAAUUAUUUUAUGCUAAUAAUUAUAAUAUUUUAUAUCUUUAUUAUUGUAUUAUACUAUAAAUAUAUUAUUAUAUUACAUUAUAUCAUAAUAUAUUGAUAUAUUAUAUUAAAUAAUUUAAUAUUAUAUUAAAUUAUUAUGCUAUAGUAUACAAUAUUAUAUUACUAUAUUAUAAUAAUAAUAUAUUACAUUACAAUAAUAUUAUACUAUAUCAUAUAUUUAUGCAUUAAUAUAUAUUAUAUAUUAUUAUACUUUGUUGUAUAAUACAUUGCAAUACUCUUUAUAGUCAUUUUGUCAUACCCAAAGUACAAUUUGUUUAUCAAAUACACGUUAAAAUAGCACAAUAGUUUAAAAAUAUAGUUACCAAACAGCAAACAAUUUUUUAUAAAAAUUCUAUUUUCAAAAGCCCUACGGUCAACACUUUUUCCAAAUGGAGCCUUCGUCACAAGAC